rnacentral:rRNA from 1 species
GACAGAGGUCCCAAGCGUUAGGCGGAAUCACUGGGCUUAAAGCGUGUGUAGGCGGACUUCUAAGUACCUUGUGAAAUCCCACGGCUCAACCGUGGAACUGCUUGGUAUACUGGUUGUCUUGGGCCAUCUAGGGGCUAGCGGAACAAACGGUGGAGCGGUGAAAUGCGUAGAUAUCGUUUGGAACGCCAAUGGUGAAAACAGCUAGCUGGGGAUGUGCCGACGCUGGAGACACGAAAAGCGUGGGGAGCAAACAGG